UACGGGAGGCAGCAGUGGGGAAUUUUGGACAAUGGGCGCAAGCCUGAUCCAGCAAUGCCGCGUGCAGGAAGAAGGCCUUCGGGUUGUAAACUGCUUUUGUACGGAACGAAAAGGUCUGGGUUAAUACCCUGGGCUCAUGACGGUACCGUAAGAAUAAGCACCGGCUAACUACGUGCCAGCAGCCGCGGUAAUACGUAGGGUGCAAGCGUUAAUCGGAAUUACUGGGCGUAAAGCGUGCGCAGGCGGUUUUGUAAGACAGGCGUGAAAUCCCCGGGCUCAACCUGGGAAUGGCGCUUGUGACUGCAAAGCUGGAGUGCGGCAGAGGGGGAUGGAAUUCCGCGUGUAGCAGUGAAAUGCGUAGAUAUGCGGAGGAACACCAAUGGCGAAGGCAAUCCCCUGGGCCUGCACUGACGCUCAUGCACGAAAGCGUGGGGAGCAAACAGGAUUAGAUACCCUGGUAGUCCACGCCCUAAACGAUGUCAACUGGUUGUUGGUCC
rnacentral:rRNA from 1 species